rnacentral:rRNA from 1 species
UACGAAGGUCCCGAGCGUUGUUCGGAAUCACUGGGCGUAAAGGGAGCGUAGGCGGCGUGGUAAGUCAGAUGUGAAAUCCCGGGGCUCAACCCCGGAACUGCAUCCGAUACUGCCAUGCUAGAGUGAUGGAGAGGUAGGUGGAAUUCUUGGUGUAGCAGUGAAAUGCGUAGAGAUGAAGAGGAACACUCGUGGCGAAAGCGGGCUACUGGACAAAUACUGACGCUGAGGCUCGAAGGCGAGGGUAGCGAAAGGG